AUCUAUAUCUAUCACAACAGUUGGUAGUUGUGUAAAUUAAACAAGAUACCUACUAUUGUUUAUUUAAUAAUAUAAAUUAGUCAGAUCAAAUUAUCAAAAGUCCUGUAAAAUAAAUUAAAAUCACAUAAUGUUUUAGUUCAUUCCGAAAUGUCUAUUGACUGUCUUCAUUCAUUACAACAAUACCCAUAACUAUUGAAAACAAAAUGUAUCCUGAAUAUAACAAGCUCUGACUUCGAAGCAGUAACGUUAAUCAUUUGCAUAUACAAGAUGCAUUAACAGUCCAUAUAAUAAUAUUUGAACAUCAAAUUAAUGAUAUUUAUUGACACACAGACCCAAAUCUUCGUGAAACUCCGAAAGUUAGAGGAAAUACAUUUUCAAGAAUUCGAGAAUUAUUUUUGCCAAAACAAAAAUUUUAAAUCGCUGCCGUACGUUGAUCCUGAAGUUAGCACUUUGGCAGCAAUGACACAA